ensembl:lncRNA
CCCCUCUCAACUCACAAUCACGAACCGCUUGCUGUGCGAUAGCAGAGACAACAGUCUAUAACUUGUGGCUGGAGUCAUUUAGGGCCUUUCUCUGACACAGCCUGGUAUAGAGGCCCUGGAUCGCAGGGAGCUCAGCCCCAGUGAUGUACUGGGCUAUACGGUCUACCCACUGUAGCGCCUUGUGGUCGGCCAUCAACUACAUAAGAUGUUCAUCCAUGUUUAUCAAAUGUCAAAUUUCAAAAUGAUUCCAACCAGGGUCAUUUUUAUAUGGAUUUUGGAUGUUUGAAAUGCAAGUAGGAUUGUCAGGUUCAACAGGGCUCUGUAAGUAUGUGGGUGUUGGGAAAAGAGGGAAGUUAGCAAGGACGACUAAGCCUAUGUAUCUUGGUUUUUGACACAUUUUGACAAAAUUGUCCAGUUCAGGAGUAUUAUAUGUGGAUGGUAGGUCAUCCUAUAGACCUUGUUGAUGCUCUCUGGGGUGGGUAGAUUUGUUGUUAUUGUAAUAGCUGAGUAGGUCUGUGCAUUUCAGUUUCAGAGCUGCCAGCUAGCGAGGGUAUACCAUGUCUAUACAUGUUUCAGUGUUGAAUGUGUUAGCAGAGUCCGUAGGUUUGUGGAUGUCAAAGUUUAAGAGUGUUUGCGCUGUCUGGAGGUUCUGGAGGUCUGGAGGUUCUGGAGGUCUGGAGGUUCUGGAGGUCUGGAAGUUCUGGCGGUCUGGAGGUUCUGGAGGUCUGGAGGUUCUGGAGGUUCUGGAGGUCUGGAGGUCUGGAGGUUCUGGAGGUCUGGAGGUCUGGAGGUCUGGAGGUUCUGGAGGUCUGGAGGUUCUGGAGGUCUGGAGGUUCUGAAGGUCUGGAGGUCUGGAGGUUCUGGAGGUCUGGAGGUCUGGAGGUCUGGAGGUCUGGAGGUUGCGAGGGGAUGAUGCUUGAUGUUCAGUGGUGGUUUGACAACUGAGCCUCUUUUCUCUCUCUGUCUCUCUCUCUCUCUCUCUCUCUCUCUCUGUCUCUCUCUGUCUCCUCUCUCCUCUCUCCUCUCUCUCUCUCUGUCUCUUUCUCUCUCUGUCUCUCUCUCUCUCUCUCUC